GAACAACUAUUGCAAGAUAGCCCUGCUCUUCCAGUUUAUGAAAAUGGGGAUGGUUGCCCAGUCAAGUGCAGGACACCUACUGUAUUGAGCCCAUCGAAGAAUUCUGGGAGAGGUACAGAGCUGAUGUAGUGACCCGCGUGCGCCAGAAGGAUCAAGUUGUCGUACUAGGAGAUGGCAGAAUGGACUCUCCAGGCCACAGUGCACAAUACUGCACUUAUACCACCAUUGAGCAGGAGUCCCGGGACAUUGUGCACAUUGUCACUGUCGACAAGAGGGAGACAGACCGCAAUUCUUCAAUCAUGGAGAAGGAGUGUUUCAUCCGA